rnacentral:rRNA from 1 species
AGUGAACGCUGGCGGUAGGCCUAACACAUGCGAGUCGAACGGCAGCACAGUAAGAGCUUGCUCUUACGGGUGGCGAGUGGCGGACGGGUGAGGAAUACAUCGGAAUCUACUUUUUCGUGGGGGAUAACGUAGGGAAACUUACGCUAAUACCGCAUACGACCUACGGGUGAAAGCAGGGGAUCUUCGGACCUUGCGUGAUUGAAUGAGCCGAUGUCGGAUUAGCUAGUUGGCGGGGUAAAGGCCCACCAAGGCGACGAUCCGUAGCUGGUCUGAGAGGAUGAUCAGCCACACUGGAACUGAGACACGGUCCAGACUCCUACGGGAGGCAGCAGUGGGGAAUAUUGGACAAUGGGCGCAAGCCUGAUCCAGCCAUACCGCGUGGGUGAAGAAGGCCUUCGGGUUGUAAAGCCCUUUUGUUGGGAAAGAAAAGCAGCAGGUUAAUACCCCGCUGUUCUGACGGUACCCAAAGAAUAAGCACCGGCUAACUUCGUG